AUGCUCUUAGGCCUGCAAAGAAUACCGAUAAGAAUUUUCCUUACUUAUAUCUAUUCUAACUGCUUCUUGGUAUAACAAUAUCAAUCUGUAAAUUUGUAUUUUUUUUUUUUUUUUGUUUUUUAAAGAUGGUUCACAUCAAAUAUUUUUGCUCGCUACAAGACUUCUUCGUUCCCAUGCAAUCAUAAACGUGGCUUACCACACGAACCUUCUAUUUUAUCUCUGAUAAUUCCUGAUCCCAGGUUCGCCGGAAAUUUUGUGGAGGCAAAGGGGCUAGCCUCCGGCUACAAUGGCGAGGGACUUGCCGAUGGGCCCUCAGCUUGAGCAGUUUCACGUUGAUAUCAACCGAGAUUUUCCGAGCCCUUGCGUAUGUUCCCAUUAAUCUCUCUCUCUCUCUCUCUUUCUGUGAUAUGUGUGAUUAUUGUGAUAUGGUUGUGAAUAUUGCUAUCUAGCUUUAAUUGGAAGCGGGUCUUUUGACUGAAAAGACGAUGUUCGAAGUGUAGGGGUAGUAACCGCUUACUCUCCACAAACACUCAGCUAAGGGGUAUUCACUAUACAUUGAUCGAAAAUAAGAGGUUCAAAGUAUAGGGGUCCUCACUGCUCAGGGAAUCUCACAAAGAAAAUGAUCUCACUCCAGCUCCUUCAAGCCGCCCCACAGCAUCUAAGCUCGCCCAGUUCGCACCUUUCACCAUUGCACGGUCUCGUGUCAUGCUCUUCCAUGUCUCAGCUCAAGCAGUAUCACUCCCAGCUCAUACGACUCGGCCUCUCGGAUGAUAACGAUGCUAUGGGCAGAGUUGUGAGGUUCUGUGCUAUCUCCAAAAAUGGUGAUCUGGGUUAUGCUCUACAAGUUUUUGAUACAAUUCCUCAGCCAGAUGCUUUCAUUUACAAUACCAUAAUGAGAGGUUACUUGCAAUGCCAACUCCCCAGAAACUGCGUUCUCUUGUACUCGCAGAUGUUGCAAGAAUCUGUUACACCCAAUGGAUUUACCCUCCCUACUGUUAUAAGAGCUUGUAGCGACGAUAAUGCUAUUGAAGAGGGGAAACAAGUACAUGCCCAUGUUGUAAAAUUCGGGUUUGAAGCAGAUGUUUAUUCUCAAAAUAAUUUGAUUUAUAUGUACGUGACUUUUCAGUCGUUGGAGAAAGCAAGAAUGGUCUUUGAUAAGAUGCUUGUGCGGAAUGUUGUGUCUUGGACCAGUUUAAUUAGUGGGUACUCACGGUGGGGGUUUGUUGACGAGGCUUUUGAAGCUUUUAAGCUCAUGCCAGAGAGGAAUUCUGUUUCCUGGAAUGCCAUGAUUGCAGCCUAUGUUCAGAGCUAUCGUUUCCAAGAGGCGUUUGCUUUGUUUGACAGGAUGCGAGCUGAAAAGGUGGUCUUGGAUAAGUUUGUGGCGGCUAGUAUGUUGUCAGCUUGUACAGGAUUAGGAGCUUUAGAGCAAGGGAAGUGGAUACAUGGGUAUAUCGAGAGAAGUGGAAUUGAAUUGGACUCAAAGCUUGCAGCAACUAUUAUUGACAUGUACUGUAAGUGUGGUUGCUUAGGGACAGCUUUUGAGGUUUUCAAUGGGUUACCCCACAAGGGAAUAUCUUCAUGGAACUCCAUGAUUGGUGGUCUAGCAAUGCAUGGGAAAGGAGAGGCUGCCAUUCAGCUCUUUAAAGAGAUGGAGAUGGAGAUGGUAGCUCCUGAUAGAAUCACUUUCGUGAACCUCCUCAGUGCAUGUGCUCAUUCUGGGUUAGUUGAGGAAGGGCGUCAUUACUUCCAUCAUAUUUUUGAAGUUCAUGGUAUUGAACCCAGAAGAGAACAUUUUGGAUGCAUGGUUGAUAUUCUUGGAAGAGCUGGAAUGCUGGAGGAAGCAAGAAAGCUUAUCAAUGAUAUGCCCAUGAGCCCUGACGCAAGUGUCCUGGGUGCUCUUUUUGGAGCUUGUAAAAUUCAUGGAAACGUUAAGUUGGGAGAGGAAGUGGGCAAGAGAGUAAUUGAACUAGAGCCCAAUAACAGCGGGCGCUAUGUGUUAUUGGCCAACCUAUAUGCCAAUGCUGGUAGAUGGGACGAUGUGGCCAAUGUGAGGAAACUGAUGAAUGACAGGGGAGUGAAGAAAGUUCCUGGGGUUUCCAUGAUCGAAUUGGAGGGUGUCCUCAAUGAAUUCAUAGCAGGAGAAAGGGCUCAUCCUCAAGCGGCAGAGAUUUAUGCCAAGGUUGACGAGAUGUUAGAGCGUAUAAGAUCUAUCAGCUAUGUACCUAACACAGAUGGAAUAUCUUGUUUUGAUAUUGAGGAGGAGGAAAAGGAGAAGCCCUUGUACUACCACAGUGAAAAACUGGCAAUUGCCUUUGGCCUGUUAAAGACUAAACCAGGAGAGACUCUUCGUAUCACAAAGAAUCUGCGAGUCUGUAAAGAUUGUCACAAUGCAACUAAGCUCAUCUCAAAGGUUUAUGAUCGCCAAAUAAUCGUCAGGGAUCGCAAUCGCUUCCACCAUUUUGGAAUGGGAGAGUGUUCUUGUAAAGAUUACUGGUAAACCCAUGAGUGCAUCUUCUGUUUUGCCUGAAUGGACAGACCAUCAUGUUGGUUGUCCCUAAAACUCAUCAAAAAGGGAUUACUAGUACAUACUUUAAGUAUUUAUACGUGCUCUACUUGGUUUCUUAGAAGAUGUAAUUAGCACACCUCUUCAUUGCUUAUUGAGGUUCCCUCAAAGCUCUAAGAAAAGAGCUAUCUAUGGUUUGGAUUGUUUGAGUUGGUUAUUGGGUGAAUCUUAUAUUUGUUAUGAGCUACUUGUGGAAGUGAGGUACACUACUACACUAAACAGGUCAUAGGUACCCAAAUUGUGACUGAUUACUACUCAUCUCUGUUGACACCAUCUGCAUGAGGGCACUUCAGAUGGUAACUAGUCUUCUGGCUCUCUAUAUGCUCAAAAGUUGGCACGUCUGCAAACUAAAUAUAUAUGGUUUGAAAAAGUGAAGUGGGAUGUGAGGUAUGAUCUUCUUGCUGAGGAGAUGAAAUUUAUGAUUUUAUAAGCCCUGUGAAAUUUUUCAGGGCAACCAAACAUACUCUACUAAACCACAAACGAAUGACUGAAAGCCAGCUAGUGAUUGGGCUUUCAUGGGAACAGAAGCUGCCAACUUUGUCAUCAGGAACACAUGGGUCUGUUUACUGAUCAACAAGGAAAAAAACAAGCCCCAUGAUGAGUCUCUGAGUAAAUCAGACUGAAGCGAGUGCACUUUUGGAGAUCCCAAUCCGAGCUCGUUGAUGGACUCUUCGUCCCUCCGAAUGACCCAAGAAAGUUAAACAGGUUGAUGAGAAAGCAACUCAAAGAUACUGCCGGCAAGAGUUGGAAACGCUAGGUUCAAAAGAUAGAAGAAAAGAAUCGGUGAGCCGGAAAUGAUAAUUGGAAGAGAAAGGGCCGUCAAUCAAGUACGCAAAGCAAAGAAGGCACUGAGCCACUCACAUAUAUUCACCAUUCUUUUAUCAGAUUUUUCGAGACUCAGAGAGAAACAUAAAGAAGGCAAUACUUGUACCAUACAGACAUGAGACAGAAUUCCUUGACCUAAAUUGAACUCCUUGGCUAGAUUCUCGAGUGCUUUAGAAUAUUGAUCUUCGAAACACCAUUCCUUGACAUAAUUUGAACUUCUUGCUUGUAUCUAUGCAAAUCAAGGUAAAACCUUAGAACCUCCUACUCUCUAAAGAAAGGCAGAAAUGCCAUUUAAUGA